rnacentral:lncRNA from 1 species
ACAUUUUUAGACCGCGUUUUUUCAUUGGUGUUAGACUUUUCUUGCCAGACUUUUUCUCUAUAAAUAUAAGUGUGUCACUGGAAAAACCUUAACCUUCACGCCUACGUAAAAAAUAUUUUGAGCUGUUUACAUCAAAAUUACCAAUCUGUGAUGUAUUGCUAAAGACUACUGAAUCAGUUAUUAAGUUAGUAAAAACUUCCAGCAAUCUAUAUUGCUCAUUACAACCAUGAACUUAAAA